CGCCAACACUGGGACUGAGAUACUGCCCAGACUCCUACGGGAGGCUGCAGUCGAGAAUCUUUCGCAAUGGACGAAAGUCUGACGAAGCGACGCUGUGUGAGCGAUGAAGGCCUUCGGGUUGUAAAGCUCUUUCGCAUAGGAACAAGAAAGGCUGGUGAAUAACCAGCUAAUUUGAGGGUACUAGCGUAAAGAAGCACCGGCUAACUCC
rnacentral:rRNA from 1 species